ACUCCGGCGCGCAAUUUUUCCUUCAGGAGCUCACCAGUGACCAAUCAGCUUCGGAGAAACCUAAUUCUAUCGUUCUGCCCCUGCGCGCUUGCGCGCCGCCAUCUUCCCCAAAUGUCUCCGCCGCCGCGUGCUCUCCCCAAAUCUCCCAAAGUCUUGCGCACUCGACCGCCUCGUGUUUGCUGCUUCUCUCCCAGAUCUCAUCCAGAGCCGCGCGUCGCUGCCCGCCCAGUGCUCCUUUCCCAAAUCCAUCCCACCUCACCUCCGCUCGCCACUCACCAGAGCUGGAGACCCGGCAGCAACCGCCGGCCACCGUUUCGUGGAGCCGCGCCGCUGCCCGCCCACUGCUCCUCUCCCAAAUCCACGCCUCCUCGCAUCCGCCUGCCAUUCACCGGAGCGGGAGACCGGGCAGCCCCGCCGGCCGCCGCGUCCAGGAGCCGCCGCAUCGACCCACGGGAGAGCAGGAGGCGCGCCGCCCACCGCUCGAAUUGCAAGAAAUGCGGGACCCGCAGGAGGCUGCAGGCGGCGAGAGCGCGUGAGGGACCGCGGGAGCCGGCGCGUGCCUUGUGCUCGCAUCCGUGCGGGGGACCUCCCAGGAGGCGGAUGCUGCACAGUAUGGACUAUGGAGCACAUCCAUUCGUGCGGGCGCAGAGCGCAUCGGUGGCGGCGGCCGCGAAGCCGCAUGGGCCGUAUCGAUCCCCUUGCCUGCCCGACUGCCCGAGCCCCUCGUCACGCUCCAUCUUUCAAUCUCCAUCAAGGUAUUACUUUCCAUUCCCUCCCUUCCCCCCUCCCCUUUCUUGGAUUUUAGCAGAUCCGGUUGCACUUGUAGUCCUGGAUUCAUAUACGUAUGUAUGCUUGUUGAUUUGAGGACGUGCUAGGGUCAACUGUCAAGUUGUUCGGUGGUGCUAGGGGUUUUCCCCCCUCUUUGCUUACAAAUUACUUGUAACACAUGUUGGUUAGCAUUCCGUGAGCUGAACUAUAUAAGCAUUUCAUAUAUACCGAAUUUUGUUGAUGGGAAUGAAUACAUGGGUAAUAGAUACGUAGUGACAAGGAAUGAGGAGAACAAGGAAAACGAUCUUGGUCCUGCACCUCUGGAAGAAAUGGCUCCAGGUAUGACAUCCCAUUAGCUCUUGCAUACCCCCUUAAACUGAAAGUAAAUGCACAUGGUAUGACAUAUUAAUGCCUGCAGAUUUCUUACGCAUCUAUUAACAGCACCAUAACCUGACUGAAGAAAUGACAGUACUUACCAUGGCAAGCAAUCGAGCUGAAAGCCACUGUAGAGGUCUAGACUUUCCAUCUUGAAUGUUCCGCAACUCCUCAUGCUGCACACAGCAUAGCAUGUUAGGAAUUCAGAUGUGAGCAUGGAUGCCUGAUCGCAGAGGGAGGGCAUGCUUCUUUUGUCUACCAGUUCCAGCACAUUGAAAUUGUGUUUCUUCUGAACUUCCUAGAGAUAAAACUAGGAUCUCCAAGAGGAUGCUUUAUAAGGUGUCUCCAAGAGGAUGCUUUAUAAGGAGUCAAGUGCUUAGCUGUGUUCCUGGUAUGUAGCUUUUUAGGUUGUGUUUAUAGGCUAGGCCUUCUCUGUAGUUAAGUCUUUUGGCGUUCCUGAGCGCCUUUUGGUGUUUACUGUGAUGGAAAAUUUGGCUGUAUAUGCUUCUUGUAAUUGCUGGCUUAUAUGGACCCUUUGUCUGUAGUUCUGGGGAAAGAUUGGACAAGUAAAUGUAUGGGUGAUCAAUGUCAAUGUUUGUAUGCUCAUAUUGAAUCUGUUGGCUUCAAAUGAAAAACCAUCAGU